rnacentral:tRNA from 1 species
GGCCGGUUGGCAGAAUGGCUCAUGCAGAGGACUGCAAAUCCUUGUAUACUUGUUCGAUUCCGGUACCGGCCUCCA